AACACUGUUAACCUGCGGUACCUGCGGAGGGAUCAUUAACAAGCUGUGGGAGAUCAAUUUGAUCUCACACCUGGCCAACCUUGUUAACCUUAAAUAUAUUGCUUUGGUGAGCCCUGCUCACCAAAGUCAAACCCUAAACUCUUGAUUGUUUCUGCUGUCUGAGCAUGCAAGUGCAAAAUUUAGUUAAAAACUUUUAACAAUGGAUCU
rnacentral:misc_RNA from 1 species